AGCUUUGCGCAGUGGCAGUAUCGUAGCCAACGAGGUCUAUCCGAGGCGCGAUUAUUGCUAAUUGAAAUUGCAGUCUAGGUUAUGUAAAGGAAUGUUGAUCCCAAUAUUAUUGUCGCCAUGGAAGGCUCUGAAGAUC
rnacentral:snRNA from 1 species